UACGUAGGUGGCAAGCGUUUGUCCGGAUUUACUGGGCGUAAAGAGCGCGCAGGCGGUCGUUCAAGUCGCGUGUGAAAGCCCCCGGCUCAACUGGGGAGGGUCACGCGAUACUGAUCGACUCGAAGGCAGGAGAGGGUAGUGGAAUUCCCGGUGUAGUGGUGAAAUGCGUAGAUAUCGGGAGGAACACCUGAGGCGAAGGCGGGCUACUGGGCCGAUACUGACGCUGAGGCGCGAAAGCGGGAGGCAAACGG
rnacentral:rRNA from 1 species